rnacentral:rRNA from 1 species
AGCAUGUCGCGGUGAAUAGUUCCCGGGCCUUGUACACACCGCCCGUCACACCAUGAGAGUUGGCAAUACCCAACGUACGUGAUCUAACCCGCAAGGGAGGAAGCGUCCUAAGGUAGGGUCAGCGAUUGGGGUGAAGUCGUAACAAGGUAGC